UGCAAGCAGUUAGUGAUAAAUUAUCAA
rnacentral:piRNA from 1 species